rnacentral:piRNA from 1 species
UACUGUAUGGUAGGGAGCAUUAUCCAUGA